UUUCUUUGCUGGCGACCGGCGCACGGGUGAGUAACACGUAUCCAGCCUGCCCUUUACUCGGGGAUAGCCUUUCGAAAGAAAGAUUAAUACCCGAUAGCAUAAUGAUUCCGCAUGGUUUCAUUAUUAAAGGAUUCCGGUAAAGGAUGGGGAUGCGUUCCAUUAGGUUGUUGGUGAGGUAACGGCCCACCAAGCCUUCGAUGGAUAGGGGUUCUGAGAGGAAGGUCCCCCACAUUGGAACUGAGACACGGUCCAA
rnacentral:rRNA from 1 species